GUGCUCACUUUAGCAGCGCAUAUACCAAAAUUGGAACGAUACAGAGAAGAUUAGCAUGGCUCCUGUGCAAGGAUGACAUGCAAAUUCGUGAAGCGUUCCAAUAAAUA